rnacentral:rRNA from 1 species
UACGGAGGAUCCAAGCGUUAUCCGGAUUUAUUGGGUUUAAAGGGUGCGUAGGCGGGUUGAUAAGUUAGAGGUGAAAUGUCCGAGCUCAACUCGGGAACUGCCUCUAAUACUGUUGAUCUAGAGAGUAGAUGCGGUAGGCGGAAUGUAUGGUGUAACGGUGAAAUGCUUAGAGAUCAUACAGAACACCGAUUGCGAAGGCAGCUUACCAAUCUAUAUCUGACAUUGAGGCACGAAAGCGUGGGGAGCAAACAGG